GUGAUUCCCUCAGUCAGCGGCGAGCGAAGAGGGACCGAACCCGAUGCCGAAUCGGACCUUAACGGUCUUGAGUUGUGGCACAAGCGGUGUUUCGUGGUUGGUGCGGGAUCAGCAAAAUUCAAUUCGGCAAAGCAAACCCAGCUGAAAACAACCCUUCAUGUGAGUAUUGAGCCAUAGAAGGUGGUAGCCCAUUGAGCUGAGAACCCUAGCGCCUCAUUAAACACUUCAAGAGAGUAGCACUGUUUGGGAAUGCAGUGUCAAGCGGCAGGUAUUUGUCUGCCAAGGUUAAACACAGAGUAGGAAGACCGAUAUCGAACAAGUAGCGUGAGCGAAAGUUUGAAAAGCACUUUGGAGAGAGAGUGACAUAGAACCUGAAGUCGCGACAAUGACAAUGGAAGUACCUCCAUUUCAUUGGCCAAAACCCACCUGACAGCAUUCGAUUUCGGGCGCUACUUUGGUGGCGUUCCGUAACAAGUGCCGAAAACCGGGGUGUGGUGAAAUGAGCGAAGAGAAAGAGUUCAACACUGGUUUACCAGCGAGGGUUCUCUUCUUCGUGAUGCUCAAUGUU
rnacentral:rRNA from 1 species